AACGCACAUUGCGCCCCUUGGUAUUCCGGGGGGCAUGCCUGUUCGAGCGUCAUUAUAACCCCUCAAGCUCAGCUUGGUGUUGGGGCCUGCCGACUGGCAGCCCUUAAAAUCAGUGGCGGCGCCAUCUGGCUCUAAGCGUAGUAAUUUCUCUCGCUAUAGGGUCCCGGUGGACGCUGGCCAGCAACCCCCAACUUUCUAUGGUUGACCUCGGAUCAGGUAGGGAUACCCGCUGAACUUAA
rnacentral:misc_RNA from 1 species